rnacentral:rRNA from 1 species
AACAGGAUUAGAUACCCUGGUAGUCCACGCCGUAAACGAUGUCGGCUUGGAGGUUGUGCCCUUGAGGCGUGGCUUCCGGAGCUAACGCGUUAAGUCGACCGCCUGGGGAGUACGGCCGCAAGGUUAAAACUCAAAUGAAUUGACGGGGGCCCGCACAAGCGGUGGAGCAUGUGGUUUAAUUCGAUGCAACGCGAAGAACCUUACCUACUCUUGACAUCCAGAGAACUUAGCAGAGAUGCUUUGGUGCCUUCGGGAACUCUGAGACAGGUGCUGCAUGGCUGUCGUCAGCUCGUGUUGUGAGAUGUUGGGUUAAGUCCCGCAACGAGCGCAACCCUUAUCCUUUGUUGCCAGCGGUUAGGCCGGGAACUCAAAGGAGACUGCCAGUGAUAAACUGGAGGAAGGUGGGGAUGACGUCAAGUCAUCAUGGCCCUUACGAGUAGGGCUACACACGUGCUACAAUGGCGCAUACAAAGAGAAGCGACCUCGCGAGAGCAAGCGGACCUCAUAAAGUGCGUCGUAGUCCGGAUUGGAGUCUGCAACUCGACUCCAUGAAGUCGGAAUCGCUAGUAAUCGUGGAUCAGAAUGCCACGGUGAAUACGUUCCCGGGCCUUGUACUCACCGCCCGUCACACCAUGGGAGUGGGUUGCAAAAGAAGUAGGUAGCUUAACCUUCGGGAGGGCGCUUACCACGUUGUGAUUCAUGACUGGGGUGAAGUCGUAACAAGGUAACC